GCUGCUGGAAGGAUGCCGAGGCUGAGUGUGUGGAGUGGCUUUCGUUAUCAACUCUGAGACGUUAGGCUUGGAUUCCUCUCAUGGACACUGUUGCUCCCUCAUCGUCGGCUGGCGUUCAGCUCAUCAUCACUCGGGGUCCUGGGAGCAGCCGUGGCUGUAGAGGGGGGACAUCGCUCUCCCAGAUUCCUCCCUCCACUCCGGGAUUGGAAUCAACUUUGAAUCAGAGAACCUGCUUUGAUGAUGCCAAGCCGAUUGCUGUUAACCUUUUUCUGAAAAAAGAAAGCCUGCUGAAAAUAGUCCUGGUCUGUCUCAAGUUUCUGAGGUUAUUAAAUAUUUAUAA